UAAACCGAGAAUAAAAGCCUCCAGUAACGAGUCCAGACAUGGUCAAUCAGUCUCUCUGCAGUGCACCUCAGUCUGCACCUUCCAAGACCUGGAGGUCACCUGGUUCAGAGAUGGCCACGCCCUCCCAGAGUCUGGACACGCCCUCCAGCUCGGCCCUCUGACCGCAGGGGAUUCUGGGAACUACACCUGCGCUCUGAAGAACAACACGAAGACACAGUCUGAUCUGUUCAGGCUGCAGGUGGAGGACGGAGGCGGAGACGGAGAUGGAGACGGAGACGGUGCUGAUGGUGGAAGUCACCUGGUGCUGAUUGUCCGCCUGCUUGUGUUCGGUCUGAUCACCUUGAUCGUCGUCGCGGUUGCAUCCGUCGUCAUCUGGAGGACCUGCCGUUGUCAUGGCAACAGCAGAGAGAACUGAGGAACACCUGGAAGUACAGGUGAGUCACGUCACGUGACACCUGGACACAGAUACCUGGACACAGACAACUGGACACCUGGACACCUGGAAAAAGACAGAGACACCUGGACACCUGGGAAUAGACACCUGAACACGCAACAUCUGGACACCUGGACUCCUGGAUACAGACACCUGGACGCGCAACAUCUGGACACAGACACCAGGGGCCUCAUGAACAAAACGUGCGUGGAUUUCAAUGUGAAUCCGUGAGUGGAAUUUUUGGGUAAAAUCCUUUUUUGAAAUUGAAAUUGAAAUUGAAUUUUUGAAAUU